GUGAGGAAUAUUGGACAAUGGGCGCAAGCCUGAUCCAGCCAUGCCGCGUGCAGGAAGACGCAUCUAUGGUGUGUAAACUGCUUUUGUACGGGAAGAAACACCCCCUCGUGAGGGAGCUUGACGGUACCGUAAGAAUAAGGAUCGGCUAACUCCGUGCCAGCAGCCGCGGCAAUACGGAGGAUCCAAGCGUUAUCCGGAAUCACUGGGUUUAAAGGGUCCGUAGGCGGUUUAAUAAGUCAGUGGUGAAAGCCCAUCGCUCAACGAUGGAACUGCCAUUGAUACUGUUAGACUUGAAUUACAAGGAAGUAACUAGAAUAUGUAGGGUAGCGGUGAAAUGCUUAGAUAUUACAUGGAAUACCAAUUGCGAAGGCAGGUUACUACUUGUGGAUUGACGCUGAUGGACGAAAGCGUGGGGAGCGAACAGGAUUAGAAACCCGAGUAGUCC
rnacentral:rRNA from 1 species